rnacentral:rRNA from 1 species
CCUACGGGUGGCAGCAGUGAGGAAUAUUGGUCAAUGGCCGGAAGGCUGACCCAGCCAUGCCGCGUGAAGGUCAGUGCCCUUUGGGCGUUAAACUUCUUUUGUCCGGGAGCAAUCAUGUUCCCGUGUGUCCAGACGAAAGUACCGUAAGCAUAAGCAUCGCCUCACUCCGGGACAGGAGCUGCGGUAAUACGGGGGGUGCAAGCGUUUUCCGGAUUUGUGUGGGUGGAAGGGUGGGUAGGGUGUGAAGUAAGUCAGCUGGUAAAUGCCCCGGCUCGACGGGGUGAACUGCCUUUGAUACUGUCUUGCUGGAGUGCUGGUGAGGUGGGAGGAAUGUGUGGUGUAGCGGUGAAAUGCAUAGAUAUCA